rnacentral:snRNA from 1 species
UGCUGAUGUGUAAUAUUG